UAGGGAAUCUUCGGCAAUGGACGAAAGUCUGACCGAGCAACGCCGCGUGAGUGAAGAAGGUUUUCGGAUCGUAAAACUCUGUUGUUAGAGAAGAACAAGGACGUUAGUAACUGAACGUCCCCUGACGGUAUCUAACCAGAAAGCCACGGCUAACUACGUGCCAGCAGCCGCGGUAAUACGUAGGUGGCAAGCGUUGUCCGGAUUUAUUGGGCGUAAAGCGAGCGCAGGCGGUUUCUUAAGUCUGAUGUGAAAGCCCCCGGCUCAACCGGGGAGGGUCAUUGGAAACUGGGGGGCUUGAGUGCAGAAGAGGAGAGUGGAAUUCCAGGUGUAGCGGUGGAAUGCGUAGAUAUAUGGAGAAACACCAGUGGCGAAGGCGGCGCUCUGGUAUGUAACUGACGCUGAGGCUCGAAAGCGUGGGGAGCAAACAGG
rnacentral:rRNA from 1 species